UAUGGCCAUAUCACAGUGAAGCACCAGUUCCCAUAUAACCACUGAAGUUAAGCAACAUCAAGUCUGGUCAGUACAUAGACGGGUGACUGCUUGGGAAUACCAGGUGCUGUAAG